rnacentral:lncRNA from 1 species
AUAAUAAUGAAAAUGAUAAUCGGAUGUAACUAAAUGUGUAACAUCCGCAGCUGUUUCCACUCAAGCUGAACAUUCCAGGUUUUCCAGGUUGAGCAUAUAUAGUGUGUCUGAUAUCCCAGUGGCACUGAGCAAUCAGCAGAAAGUUGCCUGAGGACACCACUCUGAAUCAAGCAUCCCCCAUCAACAUUCUGCUGAUCCAAUCCGGAUUGCAACAGUCCAGCCCAGAAUAAGAAACGUACUUUUAGUUCUACUUUUUAUUCAACAACACUGCACAAAUCUAGAAGAAAGAAAUUAAAGGCACAUCUAUCCGAACACUACACACACUUGUGAAAGCGGCCAACAUAUCUGCUGGAAAAUCCUCAGACAGUCACAGAACAUCAGCGACUGUAAUCAUCCAGCACAGCCUGUAUCACAGCAUGCAGACAGACGGAGAACUGUUGCCUGUGCAGUGCAGAGAAGGAAAGAGAGCCAGCGAGGCAGAGAGAGAAGAAUCUGAGGGCUUCUUACCUGCUUCCUUCACAUCCUGCUCGGCUGCUGAAGGCAGGACGGCUCCCGGUCCGCACUGAGGAACCGCUGAGAAAGAGAGCGAGGAGAGGAAGACAGGCUGAGAGAGCUGUGUCCAGCAGAACCAACUUCACCCCGGAUCACAUGUGUGCCUUCCUCUGUCUGAUGACCACCUCCUUCCAGUACAGUGAAGGCUUCUACAGACAGAAGCAGCUGUGUCAUGGGCUCACCAGAGUGGUCAACCUCUACAUGGAAGAAGUUGAGAGCAGAGCCUUGAUUACCUUCACAGGACCUGCUCCUAGACACUGGUUCAGGUAUGUGGACGACACCUGCGUCAAGAACAGAACAUACUAAUGCUGUGGACAAUAUCAUCAAGUUCACAUGACAAGAUGUCUUUGACUGUGCAGUGCACACUGAAGAAGUCAGAAGCCUCAACACUGAGGUGUACAGAGAAGCUACACACACAGAUACUUGAUGUUUGACUCUCAUCACCCACUGUAGAACAAGCUAGUGGUCAUCACAACCCUAAACCAUCGAGCUGAGACUGUGCCCACUAAGUCAGAGGGGAAGGAGAAGGAACAGAGGCACAUCAGGGGAUCACUUAAACCUGUGGUACCCAAUCUGGACCUUUGUCAAAACCUCUAAAAACAUCCAGAACAGACAGA